rnacentral:rRNA from 1 species
GGGUCAGUAGGUUGGUCGUGCCACCGGUACGUACUGGUCUCACUGAUUCCUCCUUCCUGAAGAACCGUAAUGCCAUUAAUUUGGUGUUGCGGGGAAACAGGACUGUUACAUUGAAAAAAUUAGAGUGUUUAAAGCAAGCUAACGCUCGAAUACAUUAGCAUGGAAUAAUGAAAUAGGACGAUCGAUCCUAUUUUGUUGGUUUCUAGGAUUGACGUA